rnacentral:rRNA from 1 species
GAUGAACGCUGGCGGCGUGCGUAAUACAUGCAAGUCGAACGGAGCUCUGGCCUUUGGGCGGGGGGUCAGUGGCGGACGGGUGAGUAGCACGUAGGGAGCUAGCCCUUGGAGGGGGAUAACGGCGGGAAACCGGCGCUAAGCCCGCGUACGCUGGUGCGGGGGGACCCGCAUCAGGAAAGCCCUGGGGGACUGGGGUACCGAGGGGGGCACCUGCGGCCCAUUAGCUGGUUGGUGGGGUAACGGCCUACCAAGGCGAUGAUGGGUAGCCGGUCUGAGA